UGGGGAAUUUUGGACAAUGGGCGAAAGCCUGAUCCAGCAAUGCCGCGUGUGUGAAGAAGGCCUUCGGGUUGUAAAGCACUUUUGUCCGGAAAGAAAUGGCUCUGGUUAAUACCUGGGGUCGAUGACGGUACCGGAAGAAUAAGGACCGGCUAACUACGUGCCAGCAGCCGCGGUAAUACGUAGGGUCCAAGCGUUAAUCGGAAUUACUGGGCGUAAAGCGUGCGCAGGCGGUUGUGCAAGACCGAUGUGAAAUCCCCGAGCUUAACUUGGGAAUUGCAUUGGUGACUGCACGGCUAGAGUGUGUCAGAGGGGGGUAGAAUUCCACGUGUAGCAGUGAAAUGCGUAGAGAUGUGGAGGAAUACCGAUGGCGAAGGCAGCCCCCUGGGAUAACACUGACGCUCAUGCACGAAAGCGUGGGGAGCAAACAGGAUUAGAUACCCUGGUAGUCCACGCCCUAAACGAUGUCAACUAGUUGUUGGGGAUUCAUUCCUUAGUAACGUAGCUAACGCGUGAAGUUGACCGCCUGGGGAGUACGGUCGC
rnacentral:rRNA from 1 species